UGGGGAAUAUUGGACAAUGGGGGGAACCCUGAUCCAGCAAUGCCGCGUGUGUGAAGAAGGCCUGAGGGUUGUAAAGCACUUUCAGAGGGGAGGAGGACUAUUAGGUUAAGAGCUAGAUAGUUGGACGUUACCCUCAGAAGCAGCACCGGCUAACUCCGUGCCAGCAGCCGCGGUAAUACGUAGGGACCAAGCGUUGUUCGGAUUUACUGGGCGUAAAGGGCGCGUAGGCGGCAAUUCAAGUCAUCUGUGAAAUCUCCGGGCUUAACUCGGAACGGUCAGAUGAUACUGCUUUGCUAGAGUGCAGAAGGGGCAAUCGGAAUUCUUGGUGUAGCGGUGAAAUGCGUAGAUAUCAAGAGGAACACCUGAGGUGAAGACGGGUUGCUGGGCUGACACUGACGCUGAGGCGCGAAAGCCAGGGGAGCAAACGGGAUUAGAUACCCCCGUAGUCCCUGAGCGGGCUGGCAAGGCGCAU
rnacentral:rRNA from 1 species